GAAGUAUUAUGUAGAACACAGGAGAAGGGGCACAAUCAUCCCAGCUUGUUCGCAAACAGGCUCAUUUCAUUAGUUUUGCAAAGAUUGAAAGGGACAAAGGAUAGCGCAGAGAGCAGAUAACACAUGGGGUUUGGCAGUUAGUUCGUGUUACUAUCGACCAAGGCUUUUUAGCAGGAAUUACUUGGGUCUGAAAAGCUUCCUGGAAGUGGUGGUCUAGUGUUGGAGAUUAAAAUCAUGUAGUAGUGCAGUUUCAAUGAUGUUAUGUUACUUGAUUUUUAUUAAAUGCUUAUGCUUAUGGCACCUUGUAAAUAUGCUUGUAAUGUUUCGAUAUUAAUUUUGCUUUUUGAAAUCA